GGUGGGCACUCUAAGGAGACUGCCGGUGACAAACCGGAGGAAGGUGGGAUGACGUCAAGUCAUCAUGGCCCUUACGGCCUGGGCUACACACGUGCUACAAUGGUCGGUACAAAGGGUUGCCAAGCCGCGAGGUGGAGCUAAUCCCAUAAAACCGAUCGUAGUCCGGAUCGCAGUCUGCAACUCGACUGCGUGAAGUCGGAAUCGCUAGUAAUCGUGAAUCAGAAUGUCACGGUGAAUACGUUCCCGGGCCUU
rnacentral:rRNA from 1 species